AAUGAACGUUGGCGGCGUGGAUUAGGCAUGCAAGUCGUACGAGAAUCGUAGCAAUACGAGGAAAGUGGCGGAAGGGAGAGGAUUACGUGGGAAUCUACCCUCAGAACUGGGAUAGCGGCGGGAAACUGCCGGUAAUACCAGAUAAUGUCCGUGGACCAAAGGUGUGAUUCCGUCUGGGGAUGAGCCCACGUCCUAUUAGCUAGUGGGCAGGGUAAUGGCCUACCAAGGCAAUGAUGGGUAGCGGGUGUGAGAGCAUGACCCGCCUCACUGGGACUGAGAACUGCCCAGACACCUACGGGUGGCUGCAGUCGAGAAUCUUCGGCAAUGAGCGCAAGCUUGACCGAGCGACGCCGCGUGCGGGAUGAAGGCCUUCGGGUUGUAAACCGCUGUCGUAGGGGAGCAAGAGAUGAGGGUACUCCCUCUGACUUGAGCGAUCCUAGGAGGAAGGACGGGCUAAGUUCGUGCCAGCCGCCGCAGUAAAAC
rnacentral:rRNA from 1 species